rnacentral:rRNA from 1 species
GAUGAACGCUGACGGCGUGCCUAAUACAUGCCAGUCGAGCGAACAGACGAGGAGCUUGCUCCUCUGACGUUAGCGGCGGACGGGUGAGUAACACGUGGAUAACCUACCUAUAAGACUGGGAUAACUUCGGGAAACCGGAGCUAAUACCGGAUAAUAUAUUGAACCGCAUGGUUCAAUAGUGAAAGACGGUUUUGCUGUCACUUAUAGAUGGAUCCGCGCCGCAUUAGCUAGUUGGUAAGGUAACGGCUUACCAAGGCAACGAUGCGUAGCCGACCUGAGAGGGUGAUCGGCCACACUGGAACUGAGACACGGUCCAGACUCCUACGGGAGGCAGCAGUAGGGAAUCUUCCGCAAUGGGCGAAAGCUUGACGGAGCAACGCCGCGUGAGUGAUGAAGGUCUUCGGAUCGUAAAACUCUGUUAUUAGGGAAGAACAAAUGUGUAAGUAACUAUGCACGUCUUGACGGUACCUAAUCAGAAAGCCACGGCUAACUACGUG